rnacentral:rRNA from 1 species
AGUGAACGCUGGCGGUAGGCCUAACACAUGCAGGUCGAACGGCAGCACAGUAAGAGCUUGCUCUUACGGGUGGCGAGUGGCGGACGGGUGAGGAAUACAUCGGAAUCUACUUUUUCGUGGGGGAUAACGUAGGGAAACUUACGCUAAUACCGCAUACGACCUACAGGUGAAAGCAGGGGAUCUUCGGACCUUGCGCGAUUGAAUGAGCCGAUGUCGGAUUAGCUAGUUGGCGGGGUAAAGGCCCACCAAGGCGACGAUCCGUAGCUGGUCUGAGAGGAUGAUCAGCCACACUGGAACUGAGACACGGUCCAGACUCCUACGGGAGGCAGCAGUGGGGAAUAUUGGACAAUGGGCGCAAGCCUGAUCCAGCCAUACCGCGUGGGUGAAGAAGGCCUUCGGGUUGUAAAGCCCUUUUGUUGGGAAAGAAAAGCAGCAGGUUAAUACCCCGCUGUUCUGACGGUACCCAAAGAAUAAGCACCGGCUAACUUCGUG